GCCAUGGUUUUCAGCGCCCAACUUUGACCAUUCUUCUUAUUUGAAAAUUUUUUGAAAAAAAUUAAAAACAUAAGUCACGAGUAAAGUACUAUUCAUGUUUUAUCAUCUUAUAACAACAAAAUUACUAAGUAUAAAAAAAUUUCAAAUAAGACGGACGAUCAAAGUUCGGCGCGGAAACUCAUGGUUGCACUUAUUUUGGGACGGAGGUAGUAAGUCAUAAGUACAUGAUUUGAGUAUUAAUUUACUGUAAACUUAAAAAUGAGUCUAUUUGAUUUUUUUACAAAGAUUUUUGCAUAGAAAAUUUUUGUAUGAAACGUACUCCCUCCGUUUUUUAAUAGAUGACGCCGUUGAUUUUUUUCUCACAUGUUUGACCAUUCGUCUUAUUCAAAAAUCUUAUGCAAAUAUAUAAGAUAUAAAUCACACUUAAAGUACUAUGAGUGAUAAAACAACUCAUAACAAAAUAAAUUAUAAUUACGUAAUUUUUUUGAAUAAGAUGAAUGGUCAAACAUGUGAAAAAAAAUUAACGGUGUCAUCUAUUAAAAAUCGGAGAUAGUACUAUUUAACAUUUUAAGAAUCGUGCUUACAAAGAAGGAGGAUAAGAUGCCAAACCCAAACUCACUUCCCAACUCAUCCUUAGCACCAUUGUCAGCACGUGACCGGACCUUAUCAUCCAACUAUGCACAUAAAUUGAGUGGCCGUACUAGGUUUUUAUAUUUUGAAAACAACCAAAUACAUUGCACAGCAUACAAAAUUAGGUCUCUCCCUGGAAUGUUACUGUUUUUUUUCCUAAAACUGAGGAGAUUUAUGUAAAAAAAGAAGAGAACUUUUACGGUACAAUAUACUACCAGUAUAUACUGGCAGUAUAUCAAAGGGCAUAUUAGGAAUUUGAUAGAAAAUAAAACAACACUUUAGUAAUUUUUGGUUCAAUUUGAAUUUAAUUGAGAGUACCUGGUUCCUGGAUCUUAUCGUGCACUAGGAGAGGAGCAUCCUGAGCGCCAUUUAAUGACAAAGCACGUGACGAUAGCACGAUUUGAUGAUAGAAUAACGAAGAAAAGAUAAAAUUAUCCUUUCAAACUUUAUACUGCAAUCUAAUUAAAUAAAAAAAUUAAAUCAAUCUACACCGUUAGAUCAUAUAUACUUACAGUAUAUACUAGCAGUAUAUUGUACCGUAAAAAUCCUCAAAAAGAAAACCCGCAAAAUUUCCAUGGAACUCAUUAUAGUGUAGAGUUUUUUUUUUGGGGGGGGGGGGGGGUUGGGGAAUUAUAGUGUAGAGUUGGGUGGAUGUAUAUUGCCAUGAAAGAAAAGCAGUAGGUGGACCGUUGAGGAGUUGACGGCAGGCAAUCGAGGAGCAGACAGUAGUGUUGAAAAUGUCACCCGGUUGCUUGUCGCUGGGCCGCAAGGACGCAACUUGCGCCCGCGGGAUGUCGCCACGGCCACGUUAGAACAAGAGGCCGUCCACCGGUUUUAUUCCUUGGAAACACUAGAAAUGUCGUCACGGCGAUACGAAAAGUCACCGUGCACACCCCCGCCCGGGCUGCUCCCUGACGCCGCAUCGAACAAACAAGCACACGUAUGCCGAUUGGCACCAUCCACGACCAUGGAAUGGAGCUAGCAGCUGAGAUCGGUUCGCAGAGAUCAAAACGUACAUUACCGAUAUCACAUCCACGGACGAAGAAAUCGGAGCGGUCAAUAACUGCAACCUAAACCCAGAUCGGCACGUUGAGCAGGGAGAAAUCGACCAAUAAUAACCAAUCAUGCAUCAAGUUGGUAGUGCUAUACAGUCUGCUGCUGCUUCUUGUCUCUCUGUUUUUUUUUUUUUUUGAAAGGAGUCUGCUUCUUCUACUGCUAGCUAACCUACUGAAUGCAUACAUGGACUGCUCAACGCACGACCGAGCCCGCACAGGUCGGUCUUUCACAGAUUAUAUACACAUGAGAGAGAGAUCGAAGGGCACGGCCGGUUGGUCGAUCGGUGUACGGUGCACGGCAUGUUGUUCGCGCUCCGAUCCGUCGCGCGCGCGCGGUGCGGGAUCGUGACGGACGGUCGGCCCCGGCCUUGGCGAGAUCGAUCGAUCGAUCGGUGGUCCCUCACGCGACGAACCCGAGGAAGCUGCACGGCCAGACAGACACAGGAGUUGGCAACGGUAGUAUAGUAGGAUGAGCGGCUGCAUAUCGAGAUGAGGAGAGGAGGAGAGCAAGAGCAACCGGCGCGAAGCCGCGCCCGCGCGUGCGUGCGUGUGCGUUCACCUGAUGGGGCGCGCGACGGCGCCGCGGCGAGCGAAGAGCGCGCGGAGGAGGAAGUUGGCGCCGUGGAGGAGCAGCACCACGCUGCUGCACCCCACCAGCAGUAGCUCCAGCAUGCUUGCACACAGCCGCAGGCUUCGGACGAAAUCGAUCAAUAGGUAGGUGAUCCGUGCUCGAUCCGUCCGAGCGCGUGGUGAUCCGUAAAUAGGUAGGUCGAGUUGCUUGCUUGCUCGAUCGGUCGAGGAGUCAAAGGUUUGCUUCGAAGCAAUCUGCCGAUCUGAUCUGCACGGGAGGGUUUUCUUCUUGCUGUCUCUCUUUCCCUUGUUAAUUCGGUCCUGGGAUUUGAUUAGCGGGAGGGGAGAGGCAACUACAACUAGGAAACGGGAAGGCUUUGCUUUGCUUGCUGUUUCUGUGCUGCUGUUGGGUUUUGAUUCGCUGUUGCUUUCGGCGGGAUACAUUACUGGGGUAUUUUGACGGGACCGGGGACACAGAAAUCUGGAGGAGAGGAAGUCCUGGAUAGAAACGAGAGGUCGGGGCCGACGUGGUUAACCCAGCCUGCCUGCACCGCACACUUGUUUUUAAUAAUAAGUUAUAAAAACAACUAAAAAAAAUACUGAGAUUACAUCAUUAUCAUGAUAAUGAUGACGAUGAUGCAAUAUUGUAGUACUCCUUAGUAGCAAGCUGUCAUCACGAAUUCACGAUGCAGAGUUCAGACCGGUGUUCCUCUCGGAUGCAACCAGCACGGUAAUCCACUGAAUUAUUGGGCCAUCUUUUUUCCCAUGGCUGUGAAACGGGAACGCUGGCUCCAUGCGUGCGGCCUGCCGUGCCGUGCCUUCUUGCGCAGCGUCUCAACCAAACCGUUUCCUUCCUUCUGCCAAAACAGCGUGUGGUUGAGUGACGACCGCUAACGAAGCAAUGGCACCUGUGUCUUUGUGCGGUGCGGCCUCUUCCGUGGAUAAUGCCCGCCGUAAUUAGUCCAUUUUACUUGGACAUGGACUCUGUGCCGGUACCGAUUACGAUAGGGAGAGAUGCUGAGUUGCUGACACCCUUCAAAGAAUACAGAAUAAAAUUAGUGAGCAGCACAUGAGGGACGUGCUAAGCAAAAUAACCUGGAAACCGCACUAACAUUACGUUUUUUGGGGCUAUUAAUUCAGCUCCCUUCAGUUCUCGAUUUGCACAGCAAAUUUCAAUCAUCAAUAACCCCAAAAAAAACGUUCAAACCGAAAUUCUGUGCAGCCCACUAGUCCUCUCCCAUCCAGGCGUGCUGAUGAGCUUAAUUCCAGGCCCAUCUUCAGUUCCCUAACAUUCUAAGGCCCACUUAAAGUAACAUACUCAUUCCAUGCAGGGAAUAAAUCCACUUUGAGUCCCUCAAGAAUGGUCCAAUCUUAUUUGUAUCCCUCGAUCGCAAUAAUGGAUAUCUUGACCCCUCAACUAUGAAAACCGGUGCAAUUUGUCUCCCUCGGCUAUUUUAAGGGCGGCUUUCGUUGACGUGGCGUUCACAUGGCAGUCUAGUCAUCAAAUAGAUUAAAAAUAAACAUGGAGCCCACAUGUAUGUGACAAAGGAAAAUAAAUGUGAGGCUUGCACAUCAGAAACCACCCUUAUUAUCCUCUGCUCUUCUUCCUUUCGCACAUGGGCGCAGGAACUCGUUGCCGUCUCUCCCCGUGGAGGCGAGUAGCAGUGAAGGCAGAGGAAGUUGAGGAGGCCGCUGCUGCCACUUAGGUCGCCUCUUCUAAUGCCAGAGCGCACCACCCUCCUUGUUGCGCCGGCCCGGCCUAUCGAACCUUGAGCCGCUCUGCCUCAGGUCCUCCUUAUCCAAGGGUCGCGGUGAGUGGCUGAGAUGGUCGACGAGAUCAGCACUGAUGCCGCCUUCCCUGCUCUCACCCCCCUCUGCUCCACCGCAUGAAAGGGCCGCUUGGUGGCAACAGGGGCGAGCUGUGUGGCAGAAGAACCAAUAGGGCGUCGAGAGGUAGCUGUGUGGGCAGCGGUAGGAUGAGAGAGAGAGAGAGAGAGAUGAAGAGGGACAGCGGGCAGUAGCAAGAUGAGGGGAAUCUCUAGCUCUCUAAUGCCUUCGCUGGCCAGGCCGCGCUAACCCCGUCACGCUGUCACCACCCAGGGACUCCAUCGUCGACCAAGGGGACCACCCCUAACGUCAUCACUAGAGGGCGGGCCUCUCAGCCACUAGUGCCAUCCUCGGCAUCCACAAGUCGUCACCAACACGCAGUUGUCUGGAUCUCACCCCAACCUCGCAUCAGGCGUGGUGUCGUCA
rnacentral:sRNA from 1 species